UUGAAAGGGAAACGAUUGAAGUCAGUCAUGCCGGUGGGAAAUCAGCUCAUAGGCUACUUUGAGUGCACUUUCUCGCAAGGCAGGUUAACAUCGGUUUCAGUUGCGUUAUAAUGAUGGUGGGAAGGUAGCUCCCUCGGGAGUGUUAUAGCCCGCUAUAGAUGGCGUGACAGAGAUCGAGGAUUGCAGCGAAUGCCUUUAGGCUACGGGUCUGGUCUCUGUCAAGUGUCAACUUGUCGUCAGCGUGCUGACGUACGGGGUGACGUCUUUACAAAAGGUUCAGAACUCGAUAAAUUCGUUAAGGAUG
rnacentral:rRNA from 1 species